AACUAUAACGGUCCUAAGGUAGCGAAAUUCCUUGUCAGGUAAGUUCUGACCCGCACGAAAGGUGUAACGAUUUGGGCGCUGUCUCGGCAGCAGACUCGGUGAAAUCUUAGUACCUGUGAAAAUGCAGGUUACCCGCAACUAGACGGAAAGACCCCAUGGAGCUUUACUGCAGCCUGAUAUUGAAUUCUGGUCAUACAUGUACAGGAUAGGUGGGAGACAAAGAGACGUGCACGCCAGUGUACGAGGAGUCGACGUUGGGAUACCACUCUUGUGUGACCGGGGUUCUAACCUGGUAUCGAGAACAGGUACGGGGAGAGUGUCAGGUGGGCAGUUUGACUGGGGCGGUCGCCUCCCAAAGAGUAACGGAGGCGCCCAAAGGUACGCUCAGAUUGGAUGGAAACCAAUCGUCGAGUGCAAUUGCAGAAGCGUGCUUGACUGUGAGACAGACAAGUCGAACAGGGACGAAAGUCGGGAAUAGUGAUCCGGCGGUGCCGAAUGGAAGGGCCGUCGCUCAACGGAUAAAAGCUACCCUGGGGAUAACAGGCUGAUCUCGCCCAAGAGUUCACAUCGACGGCGAGGUUUGGCACCUCGAUGUCGGCUCAUCGCAUCCUGGAGCUGGAUUCGGUUCCAAGGGUUGGGCUGUCCGCCCAUUAAAGCGGUACGCGAGCUGGGUUCAGAACGUCGUGAGACAGUUCGGUCCCUAUCUGUUGUGGGCGAAGGAGAUCUGCGGAGAGCUGUCCUCAGUACGAGAGGACCGGGAUGGACCUACCGCUGGUGCACCGGUUGUUCCGCCAGGGGCAUAGCCGGGUAGCUAAGUAGGGAAAGGAUAAGCGCUGAAAGCAUCUAAGCACGAAGCCUACUCCAAGAUGAGAUCUCCCAUUCGCAAGAAGUAAGACCCCUUAAAGACGAUAAGGUAGAUAGGCCAGGGAUGGAAGUGCAGUGAUGUACGGAGUUGACUGGUACUAAUCGGUCGAGGACUUAAUCAG
rnacentral:rRNA from 1 species